AGGGAUCAUUGCUGGAACGCGCCCCAGGCGCACCCAGAAACCCUUUGUGAACUUAUACCUUACUGUUGCCUCGGCGCUAGCUGGUCCUUCGGGGCCCCUCACCCUCGGGUGUUGAGACAGCCCGCCGGCGGCCAACCCAACUCUUGUUUUUACACUGAAACUCUGAGAAUAAAACAUAAAUGAAUCAAAACUUUCAACAACGGAUCUCUUGGUUCUGGCAUCGAUGAAGAACGCAGCGAAAUGCGAUAAGUAAUGUGAAUUGCAGAAUUCAGUGAAUCAUCGAAUCUUUGAACGCACAUUGCGCCCUCUGGUAUUCCGGAGGGCAUGCCUGUUCGAGCGUCAUUUCAACCCUCAAGCCUGGCUUGGUGAUGGGGCACUGCCUGUAAAAGGGCAGGCCCUGAAAUUCAGUGGCGAGCUCGCCAGGACCCCGAGCGCAGUAGUUAAACCCUCGCUUUGGAAGGCCCUGGCGGUGCCCUGCCGUUAAACCCCCAACUUCUGAAAAUUUGACCUCGGAUCAGGUAGGAAUACCCGCUGAACUUAA
rnacentral:rRNA from 1 species